rnacentral:tRNA from 1 species
ACUGUUUUGGCAGAUAAGUGCGGUAAAUUUAGAAUUUAUCAAUGUAGAUCUUACCUACAAAUAGUA